UGAAGAAGGGAAAUAUCAAAACUCUUUGCCUCACUAAAUUAUUCAGCAACCUUAUGAAACUUAAUAAUAAUUAUAUAUGCUCAAAUAGCAGAAUGUGGUGUUUUGUUAACAACUUUGGGUAUGUUUUAUUCUACUAUUCUAUUAUUUUGCAGGAGGCAGGAGGUAAACUUUCCACUGUUGCUGAAAUGGAAUAUAUGGUGACAGAAAAAGGCAAAGAACAAACUAAUAAGUGAACAAAGACCCUGGGCAACUCUUUAGUUCUAGAUACACAUAAGACAGUGACUAUGCUAUAAAUCUUCCCACCUCCUACAUCAAAUCACCAAGAGCUGCUCUUCUGGAAAUAGCACCUGCUGAGAUGUAAGUGAUCUGUGUUACUGGAGAGCUGCCUGAGGGGUCAUGCGCAUGGCUGCAGAUUGAAUCUCUGUAUCCCUGAGGCUGACAGCGGGUCUCACUCUUCCAGCAGGCAUCAACAUAGCACCACGGCCAAGUAUCAAACUCACUUGCAAAUCUUCAAAAGCAAAAUUACUUAUGUCCAACCACACAUUCCACAUGUAGAGGAACAAAAUCUCCGGAAAGAGGCCAAGGAACUUAUAUAAUUUUUUCACAUUCUCUAGAAGAUUUUGGUGAUCAGUCAGGUUUGGGAACGAUUAUAUUCACUCCUUAGAUCAUUACAAUCCUGUGAUUUAAGAAUAAAUACAAAGUGAGAAAAAGGAAGUGAUUUGGG
rnacentral:lncRNA from 12 species